UGUCCUACGGGGGGCAGCAGUGGGAAUAUUGCACAAUGGGGGAAACCCUGAUGCAGCGACGCCGCGUGAGUGAGGAAGUAUUUCGGUAUGUAAAGCUCUAUCAGCAGGGAAGAAAAUGACGGUACCUGACUAAGAAGCCCCGGCUAACUACGUGCCAGCAGCCGCGGUAAUACGGAGGAUGCGAGCGUUAUCCGGAUUUAUUGGGUUUAAAGGGUGCGCAGGCGGUCUGUUAAGUCAGCGGUCAAAGCCCGGGGCUCAACCCCGGCCCGCCGUUGAAACUGGCAGUCUCGAGUUGGAGAGAAGUA
rnacentral:rRNA from 1 species